rnacentral:lncRNA from 1 species
CAUGCAGGAAAGUGCACAUGAAGGGAAAAAAAUGGCUUUGCUAAAUCCAGUCCUAUGGAAAGCGGAGUCCUGUGUAGCUCCUAAGUACAAAGGAAGAAAUAGUUGAAAAUAAUCUACUUUAGUUGAAUUAAGGAAGCUAAGUAUUACUGCAGGAACCUAAGAAAAACCCCUUUGACUUCCUGGAAACUGAAAGAAGUUUUUUUGAAGAAGUAAUUGUCUCUGACAUCACUACAGUGCAUUGUGAGUUUGUGAGUGGUUAGUUAGGGUAACAGAGGAAGCAACUCCUUCACAGAUAAGCUGGCAGUGCAAUAGAGAGACACAUGCUGUUUCAUAAGGAUACACCUGAUUUCCAGAAAUAACCAUGUUUUUGUGGCUUAAACUCUUAGCAUUUGGUGUUGCAUUUCUGGGACAGGAUGCUUUUCUCAAAGGGCAGGAGACAACAACGAUCGCACCUGGUGCCAGCCUCGCACACAGCACGCACUUCUCCAGCCCCGGCACGGCCCCGAGCAGCCCGGCACGCAGCAGCAGCCCUGCUGCCCUCACCGCACGCACCCCCUCUGCCUUCGGGGAUGCUUCUGCAGAUGAUAACAAUUCAACAUCCUUGCACAGCACCACCUCAUCAGUCAACAUGCCAGCAAGCACUGGGAUCAGCCCCACUCUCAGCUCCACUCACACAAUAGAAACUACCACAGUGAUACCUGAAGCAUCUUGUGAUAUUAUCAAAAACAUAGAAGACUCUGAGAACGACUCUAAAAUGGCUUCAGUUUUACUGAACAUUCCCACAGAAGACAAAGAAUAUAUUAUUUUGGGGGAUGGCAUAGACAUAACUGUGAGUUCCAGCAACAAAUCAGUAGAGCUUCCAAAAUGCCAGAAUUACACUGUUAAAGUUAAAAAUGGCAAGUGUUCAGACAGUACUUCUUCUUCUUUUCUUGUUCCAAAAGUUGCCAAUGAACCUCUUCAAGUCAACAACCAAGGCAACACCUCUGCCAGGUUAUGUUGGAGUAUCUCACUUGCCUGUGCUAAUGUGACUGUUACCUGCAAUGGGACACUUUCAAUGUAUUCUGAAAGUGGGUUAUUUAUUUAUUUAUCUUUAAAAUCAUUAUUGAUGUUGUAUUUUGAUGAAAGACUGGCAGAUUUAAUU